CAGUCGCCACGGUAAUACAGAGGGUGCGAGCGUUAAUCGGAUUUACUGGGCGUAAAGCGUGCGUAGGCGGCUUCUUAAGUCGGAUGUGAAAUCCCUGAGCUUAACUUAGGAAUUGAAUUCGAUACUGGGAAGCUAGAGUAUGGGAGAGGAUGGUAGAAUUCCAGGUGUAGCGGUGAAAUGCGUAGAGAUCUGGAGGAAUACCGAUGGCGAAGGCAGCCAUCUGGCCUAAUACUGACGCUGAGGUACGAAAGCAUGGGGAGCAAACAGGAUUAGAUACCCCAGUAGUCCCUGUCUCUUAUAC
rnacentral:rRNA from 1 species